ensembl:lncRNA
GUGAAAACACAGUGAUUCAACUCCACGUGGCAACACUGGCACCAACCAAGCCUGCAGAGAAGCAAACUGCAUUAUGCUGUAUUAUGAGCCGGUAUUUACCAUCUGGCCCAAUCACAGUAACAAGCUGAGCACUUCUGAAUAAAAGACAUUUUUCCUCAAAAUUUAUACUGCCUCCAGUGCCAGUAUUCUCUAUGGACCCUGAGCACAUAAUUAUUUCAUGGGGUAUCCUGCACAUAGAUCCAAGCAGAUGCCGGGACAUCCUGCAGAAGUACCCACUGAGGGUUUAGGCUUUCCAAGGCACACAGUUCAUUGUUGGAUAUGUUAACCAGGAUCAGAGAUGUUCCCAUGAAGUUAAAAACGGGAACUGAAGACUGAAGAGCUACAGCUGUUUCAAGUGCUGUCAGCCACAGGAUGGAAACACCUGGGAAAGCACUGUAGAUGCCAGCAGUCACCAUGGCCUGGUGGUGCCCCACAGCUUGGUUGGAUCCCACAGGGGUGCAGGAAGAUGCCGAAAAAGCUCUGACCCAUGCAGGUUGUGCUUACUGCUUAGAGAAACUGGAUAGGCUGGUCACCUCUCAAAAAAACAAACCUUUGGAGGAUGUGCAUGUGGAGGUAGCUUCCGCUGCCCAAAGCAUCCCUGCUCCACCAGCAGCAUCCCAUGUGGUGUGGACUCAACUUUGGAGGGGCUUUCCCAAAAGUGUCAUCUACUUGGAGCCAAGUGGUAGCCCUGCAGCACAGACAAAACCCCUCCGCCAUGCCCUGCCCUGACUGCCCGCAGCCUCCUGAGCCCAUUCAGAGAAUCACAGAAUCACAGAAAGGGACUCUAUGAAGGGCCCUGAAACUGAUCAUUGAGCUCCAGCCCCCUGCGGUGGGCAGGGCUGUCACCCACCAGAUCAGGCUGCACAGGGCCACAUCCAGCCUGGCUUUGAGCACCUCCAGUGAUAGGGCAUUCCCUCCUUCCUUUCAGGACAUGACCGGGUCUGGUGACCAAAUCACUUCCCACACAGGGAAGCACUAGUGGAGCUAGAUCCAGCUCUCCUAAUUAUCACACAGAGCCUGUAGACUGUUAACAGCAGCCCACAUUAGCAUGGAGCCAAGUCCUUAGUGUGCUGUGAUAAUAACAGUGUUUAAUAGAAUUAGGGGAAGUAUAUAAUCAGAAUAAGACUGCUGUGUGUACACAAAGGCAAGAUUAAUACACAACCAGUGAGCCAGGGCUAAGUCGAUAAAGUGGAAUUCACUGGGAGCCAGGAUAGCAGACAGGUAAACAUUAAUCUCUGUGUGUGAUGUGGAGUUUAGAGAUCAGAUGUUACUUGAAACCCGUGCAGAUGCAUGGGGUAUAUGGAGGGCACCACAGCCUCUGUUACCUUACACUCCUCAUGUGGAGCAGGAAGAGCUGCAUUCUUUGUGAUUAACCCAGCUUGAACUUUGAAAUGUGACUCCCAAAUAUUUGCGAGAAUACUGCAACUAAGACAAAGGAGUGGGGCUUUAAAGACCCUGUGGUUCUACAGUGUGCAGCUAGCUUCCUGCGGGGCUUAGGGCAAGUCCCUGCACCUCCCGGGACCUCAAUUGCCCAUGAAUUUCCUCCAAAUAGAUUUCCUUUGCACAUCUUAUUUCCAUGGGGAAUUAGUAUGGAAGUUUCAGAAGGGAAACACAAGAAGGCUAAACGAGAAACUUCAACACCCAAACUAAAACUGUGGGGGAGUUUUUCUUAUUUCAAGGAAGAAGAGCACAGUUGGUCACAAAGCCAGCAAACAUUUCCAGCUUCGAAAGAGGUCUGUGCCUAAAUACCUGGGUACUUCUCUGUUACUGAUCACAUACCCACACAUACCAGUAUUUCACCACAUUUAAUUGGCUGAUCAGCCACCUGAAGGUGCCAGAAGGCAUCAUCUUUCCAGGGAUCGCUGAUGGAUAGUUGUAAAUUUCUUAGGUCAAGAAAGAAAGUUUUGUAUUCUGGGGGCUUUAAUACAGACAUAUUGCCCAGCUUUGGCUGGCCAUUAAAUUAAUCCCUUUCUUUCCAGAAGCAAUCACAAAGGAUCCCAAAUGAUAAGCUGAGGAGAGCCCCAGGGAUUCCAUCACCCCUGGAUGCAGUGUGCCCACAUUUAGAGCAGGAGUAGGGAAGGUCUCAGCUCCUGCAGCCCAGGACACCGUACUUCAAUGAGCCCCAGCCAGCACAACCUACUUAUUUUACCCUUGUGAAAGUGCUUUAACUUCAGAAUAAAAUAUUGUUUUACCCUCUGCCCUGCUGCUCUGUGUAACUCCAGUGUCAGCUUCCAAAACUAUAACAAACCUCCUAAACAAACACAUUUUAAGCUCUGCUUCCAAACCAGGCUGGGUAAGGAGCAAGCAAGCUGAAUUAGAUGCAGGAGCCGAUUCAUCACCCCUUCCUCUGCCUCCUGGUCCCCCUGCCAUUUUGGGCAUUCCCAGCUGUGUCACCUGCAUGACAAACAGGGCUGAAGGAGUUGUUUUCGCAAGGUGCCAGUGGCCAGUCAGCCUCUUUGCAAGGUGAGGGCGAGCUGCCAGCUGUCUCCUCAAGGAGCACAGCCCUGGAAGCCAGCAGAGCAGGAGGAGAGGGAGGGUAUGGAAACUUCCCAGGGGAGGAUUGUUGCAGAGACUGAACAGGCUCUGCUCUAUCCAAGCACAAGGAAAUGUAUUAAUGUCAGGCCCAAGUGCCCUGCUUUGUCUCAUGACAGCACCUUCGCAAACAUCUCAAACAUUUGUUUUCUUUUGUGCAGCCUCACAUGCCACCACCCAGCACCAACAAAUAGAAGCUCCAUACUUUUUAAGCACAGCCUUAUGAGGAAAUACUGUUACAAUGAGCCGCAGCUCUGUCCUGGCAUGGCGAUAAAAAUGCUGGCAGAGAUGGGAGGCAGAGCAUGUGCAGAGCAGCAGCUGCAAGAAGAGGGGCCUGCGGCAACUGCAAUGGCUCCCAGGAGCCAGUGGGGAGAAUGGGCCAUACAGAGAAAUCCAGGAGACCUCUUAGGAAGGACUUGCUAUGGGGUUAGUUAAAGCUGUUUUACGACUCUCUGGACUGGGAAAGAAACAAGCAAGUCCUGUUUUUCUGAGGUACAGUGAACUGUGUCACUGCUGUAGCACCAGAAGGAGCUGCCGCCCUGCAAGAAG